GACGAACGCUGGCGGCGUGCUUAACACAUGCAAGUCGAACGGAAAGGCCCUGCUUUUGUGGGGUGCUCGAGUGGCGAACGGGUGAUUAACACGUGAGUAACCUGCCCUUGACUUUGGGAUAACUUCAGGAGACUGGGGCUAAUACCGGAUAUGAGCUCCUGCUGCAUGGUGGGGGUUGGAAAGUUUCGGCGGUUGGGGAUGGACUCGCGGCUUAUCAGCUUGUUGGUGGGGUAGUGGCUUACCAAGGCUUUGACGGGUAGCCGGCCUGAGAGGGUGACCGGCCACAUUGGGACUAAGAUACGGCCCAGACUCCUACGGGAGGCAGAAGUGGGGAAUAUUACACAGUGGGCGGAAGCCUGAUGAAGCAACGCCGCGUGCGGGAUGACGGCCUUCGGGUUGUAAACCGCUUUCGCCUGUGACGAAGCGUGAGUGACGGUAAUGGGUAAAGAAGCACCGGCUAACUACGUG
rnacentral:rRNA from 1 species